CAAAAUCGAGGGACAGACCAGGGAGUGGUAUGAAAUGAAGACAUGGAGACUCCUGGGGAAUGGAUCUACCUGAGACCAACACAGCUUACAGAACCAACAAAUGAAACAGUUUAGUGGAGAUUGAGAAGCAGAUGGGCUCUGAGACCGGGCAGGAAGAAUGCUCUGAGCCGCUCCUGAGAGCACAUGGGAGCUGAGUGUUCACACAAAACACUCCCUGGGCUGCUAAACAUGAGACUGACUCUCUGCUGCUUUGAUUUUUGUGAUGGAAAGGAUGCAGCCUCGAAGCACUGAGGGGCAUGAACUUGGCAGCAAAUCCUGUGAGUAGAUCUAAGCAGCAUUGGACGGACCAUUGUAUCUAAAUUAAGCUGAAUUACAGACAUACCCUUGAGUGGCUCUUCCUUAAACUGUAAGAUACUACAAAUUGCCCAGAUGUGAUGAAACUUCUCCACAUUCUCCAGGAAACUAAGAUGCACCCAUCAUUUGUUUUGUGUACGGCAUCAGACUCCUAAUCAGCCUUUUCUCCACUGAUUCCUUCCAAUACACUCUACACUGCAACUAAGAGGAUAUCUCUAAAUUUCAAAGAGUUUCUCACCAACCUUUGAAGAACAAAUGUUGAUACUGCUCUCAGAGUCCCCAGUCUACACCAUCAUUUAUGUAUCAGGGCAUGGUGGAAUCUCAGCAGCUGACUGAAAUAAAAUCUCUGAGGCUUGACCCUCCC